rnacentral:rRNA from 1 species
AACGAACGCUGGCGGCAGGCCUAACACAUGCAAGUCGAGCGAAGCCUUCGGGCUUAGCGGCGGACGGGUGAGUAACGCGUGGGAACGUGCCCUUUGCUACGGAAUAGCCCCGGGAAACUGGGAGUAAUACCGUAUGUGCCCUUCGGGGGAAAGAUUUAGCGGCAAAGGAUCGGCCCGCGUUUGAUUAGGUAGUUGGUGGGGUAAUUGCCUACCAAGCCGACGAUCCAUAGGUGGUUUGAAAGGAUGAUCAGCCACACUGGGACUGACGACACGGCCCAGACUCCUACGGGAGGCAGCAGUGGGGAAUCUUAGACAAUGGGGGAAACCCUGAUCUAGCCAUGCCGCGUGAUCGAUGAAGGCCUUAGGGUCGUAAAGAUCUUUCAGUGGGGAAGAUAAUGACUGUACCCACAGAAGAAGCCCCGGCUAACUCCGUGCCAGCCGCCGCCGUAAUAC